UGGCGUCCGUGAUGUUGCAGUUGUACCUACAUUGUUUGACCCUCAUGAGAACAGCCCUGGCUGAGACGCUG
ensembl:snoRNA SNORD34 Small nucleolar RNA SNORD34